CACUCCUACGGGAGGCAGCAGUGGGGAAUUUUGGACAAUGGGCGAAAGCCUAAUCCAGCAAUGCCGCGUGAGUGAAGAAGGCCUUCGGGUUGUAAAGCUCUUUUGUCAGGGAAGAAACGGUGAGAGCUAAUAUCUUUUGCUAAUGACGGUACCUGAAGAAUAAGCACCGGCUAACUACGUGCCAGCAGCCGCGGUAAUACGUAGGGUGCAAGCGUUAAUCGGAAUUACUGGGCGUAAAGCGUGCGCAGGCGGUUUUGUAAGUCUGAUGUGAAGUCCCCGGGCUCAACCUGGGAAUUGCAUUGGAGACUGCAAGGCUAGAAUCUGGCAGAGGGGGGUAGAAUUCCACGUGUAGCAGUGAAAUGCGUAGAUAUGUGGAGGAACACCGAUGGCGAAGGCAGCCCCCUGGGUCAAGAUUGACGCUCAUGCACGAAAGCGUGGGGAGCAAACAGGAUUAGAAACCCUGGUAGUCCCAUGA
rnacentral:rRNA from 1 species